AGAACGAACGCUGGCGGCAUGCCUAAUACAUGCAAGUCGAACGAACUCUUCGGAGUUAGUGGCGCACGGGUGCGUAACGCGUGGGAAUCUGCCCCUUGGUUCGGAAUAACAGUUGGAAACGACUGCUAAUACCGGAUGAUGACGAAAGUCCAAAGAUUUAUCGCCAAGGGAUGAGCCCGCGUAGGAUUAGCUAGUUGGUGAGGUAAAGGCUCACCAAGGCAACGAUCCUUAGCUGGUCUGAGAGGAUGAUCAGCCACACUGGGACUGAGACACGGCCCAGACUCCGUACGGGAGCAGCAGGUAGGGAAUA
rnacentral:rRNA from 1 species